rnacentral:rRNA from 1 species
GACGAACGCUGGCGGCGUGCCUAAUACAUGCAAGUUGAGCGAUGAAGCUUGGUGCUUGCACCAAUUUGAAGAGCAGCGAGCGGGUGAGUAACGCGUGGGGAAUCUGCCUUUGAGCGGGGGACAACAUUUGGAAACGAAUGCUAAUACCGCAUAACAACUUUAAACAUAAGUUUUAAGUUUGAAAGAUGCAAUUGCAUCACUCAAAGAUGAUCCCGCGUUGUAUUAGCUAGUUGGUGAGGUAAAGGCUCACCAAGGCGAUGAUACAUAGCCGACCUGAGAGGGUGAUCGGCCACAUUGGGACUGAGACACGGCCCAAACUCCUACGGGAGGCAGCAGUAGGGAAUCUUCGGCAAUGGACGAAAGUCUGACCGAGCAACGCCGCGUGAGUGAAGAAGGUUUUCGGAUCGUAAAACUCGGUUGGUAGAGAAGAACGUUGGUGAGAGUGGAAAGCUCAUCAAGUGACGGUAACUACCCAGAAAGGGACGGCUAACUACGUG